rnacentral:tRNA from 1 species
CCUUCGAUAGCUCAGUUGGUAGAGCGGUGGACUGUAGAGGUAUAAAACAGAUUGCUGACAUCCAUAGGUCGCUGGUUCAAAUCCGGCUCGAAGGA